GGUGUGAUGAUGUGUCACUUAUG
rnacentral:siRNA from 1 species